GUUCUUGACAACAGUGUUAAAAUGAAGUAUAAUAUCUACAUAAAAAUUCGAGGAAGCUGAGAAGAGUUGUAAUGGACGAGGGUGCGAUUCCCUCCAGCUCCACCAAAAGCGCAUCUACCUAAAGAACAUAUGCUGCAAAGCCAGUAGCUACCUUUGUAACAGGGCAGGAGAUGUCGACCUCUGAGGGUGUGCUUUUGAUGGGGCUGAAUAGUAUCGACAUGCAAGGACGGUAAGUGGAGAAUUCGUCAGAUAAGACGUAAACAUCAAACUAAACUUAAACGCAAACGAUGACGUUUAUUCUCUAGCUGCAUAAGCUAGAUGGGGUCUGGCCCACCUUAUU
rnacentral:tmRNA from 1 species